GAUUAGUUUUGGAAUAAGGGAAAGGGGGAUGUGAUUAAAAAAAUUGGGUUCAAUUUUUCUCAUUUGAAAUUUCAUAAAUAAAAAAGAAAAUUUCUUCAAACAUUUUUUUGAGAGGAUUAAUAUUCAACAGCAUAGUGAAUUGCUCUAAGAGAAACAAAAAUUUUAAGUUCAUUAGAACACAUUCAUUCUGUGUCAGAAACCUAUGCUGUGUCAACUAUUUAAUCACAAUCCAAAUUUAGAGCUGAAUCCAGCUUGAAUGCUGUGUCCAUACUUGCCCUAACCGUUCAGGGUUCAACCUCUGCGGUCGUAUAAAGCUACGCCCUGCGGAGCAUCUGGUUAUGGUUUGAAACAGUAUAUAAGUAUUAACAUUCCAGUAUUCUUGUGUUCUAAGAUGGUACACACUAAUGUUUACAGUUAGUUGUCCUGUGUUGUCUGGGUCAAAUCAAUUGUAUUUUCAUAUUAACAAACAGUUCUUAAACUAGUGAACUGACUGAGUGAAAUUAUUAGUGAAUGUACAGAAGAUAAUGCCAUUACAUAACUUUAAUUUGGUUAUGAAGUAGAAUUUGUGUUAACACUUAGUUUCUCCAAAAGCAUAAAAUGAAUGGACAUAACUACCAACACAUACAUAACCUUGAUUUAUGAAGAAUUUCAGUGAAAUUAUGGCUUAUAUCUUGUUAUACAAUUUCAGCAUGCACCUCUUUUUUGUGUUCAUAUUUUGCAUCAUAAUGAUUUUAAGUGUACCCAACCAUGCACACUUAAUUUUUAGACCUAUGGCAUAUUCAUUACCCUAGAAUAGUAAAUGAAUUGUAUUAGGAAGUUCAAGGAUUUGUUAUAAAGACAUUGUCAUUUCUAUAUUUGAGAGUGAUUGAUAAAAAUGUUAGUUGUUAUAAUGUAAAAAAGCAGGUGAUACCUUCAUAGACAACUUACAUGUAAGAAUAUUGUUGUUGAAUUAUUGAUUGUGCAAUGCUAUGAUUUAUAUGUGAUAAGCGUUAUUGUUGUUAUUGAAAAUAAAGAUUUAAAAUAUGUUUACACUUCAUUAAAUUUCUACAUAAAACUAUUUAACUAUAUGGGACAGCAUUAGUUAAUGUUCUUAGUGACAUGAGCUGUCUUUUGGCUCUUGAUGGGUUAAUCAUCCAUUCACCAUAAAAAGAAUGUCAUCUAAAUCAGAAGGAUAAUUGGAGAAACAAGCAGCCAGAAUCUUUUCCAAUGUUUCUAAGCCGACGUUGAGCGUUUAUACCCUUGCAUCCGUACAUCCCAAAAUUGGUUUCUGUUCUCCAACUUUAAUUUGUCUCAAACAAAUGUUAUGAAACUUAUACACAAUGCUUAUUAACACAAAAUACAGAUUAAGCUUGAACUUUGGUGGUGUCACAUUCACAUUUCUCUAUUUGAGAGUAAUUGAAAAUAAAGAUUUAAAAUAUG
rnacentral:lncRNA from 1 species